UACAGAGGCCACGAGCGUUAGGCGGAAUCACUGGGCUUAAAGCGUGUGUAGGUGGAUCGGUAAGUACCUUGUGAAAUCCCACGACUCAAUCGUGGAACUGCUUGGUAUACUGCCAGUCUUGAGGCACUCAGGGGCGAGCGGAACAGAUGGUGGAGCGGUGAAAUGCGUAGAUAUCAUCUGGAACGCCAAUGGUGAAGACAGCUCGCUGGGGGGUGUUCUGACACUGAGACACGAAAGCCAGGGGAGCAAACAGG
rnacentral:rRNA from 1 species